GGGCUUCUUUCAUUGCCUGAUUUUAUCUUUAUGUACUGUUAAUCAACAACAAAUGCAAGGUAAAGUGAUUUAAUGUGAAUUUAUUCCAUACUGAGUUAAAUGGCCUUGCAUUUGUCAUGUGUUAAAUGUGUGCAAACAGACUUCCUAGUGUGGCUCACCUGAUGCAUGGUAAUGUGGUGCGUGUGAGCUCUCAAUGUGAAGUGAUUUGCCCAUGAUAACAUGGGAAAUUGAUAGCAGAACCAGAAAUUGAACACAGAUUUUUCCUUCUCUCAAUCCAGUGCCUUAACUAUAGUAGGGCAAAGUAUUAUAUGUUAGGGGGGGUGUGUGAUUGAUUUGUUUGGGUUUUAAAGCCUAGAAGUCUAAGAUGGUGUGGAGUUGGUCUUCCUACCAAUCUUUUGCAUAAUUGCAAAUGCCCAGUCACAAUUUUAGACCUGUUUGAGUGCCAGUGACUUAGGGAAUAUUUGUUAUUUCCCGUGUAUUCCCUGAAGUUAUUGUUCCUCCCUCAACUGCUGUCAGCAGUAAGGAAUGACUUGAAUAGAAGAGCUGUGUAACUGAAUGUCUAUCUAACUCAACUAACUGAAUCGAUAGUAUGAAAGCUAACCUAGAUUUUGUAGGCUCUGUUGUAACUUUAGUGUCUUGUUUUUUCACUAAAUCUUUGUUCCUAGAAAUCAAUAUCUGAACUUAUGUCUUGAGUCUGGAGUGGGGUACCACUUUCAGCUUUAAUUUUUUUUAAGGUGCUUGCUUGAGGAAGUAGAUGCCAAAGUAAACUUCAAAGGAAUUCCAGACUUCAGUGUUGGAAGAAUGAAUGGAGAGCAAGAGCUCUCUUUGGGUUUCAUGAGAGAUAAAUGGACAAAGUAAAAAAACCAGCUACUAAAAUUUUCAGUAAUGAAACGGGAAAGGCUUUUCUUUAUCACCACAGAAAUAACCAGAUAUUUUCAAUUGUUCAGCAUGGCAGAAACUCUGAGAGCAAGUGCCAAACAAAACCAUGGAAUGUGUUGGCUUUUUCAGCAUUAUGAACAUACCUUAACAGCAUUAUGAAUAUUUUAAUGUAUAUUAAGCCAGCUUUGUACCGUUCACCUUUUGCCUGGGCACAGUAUCUGAGUUUUAAUUGAACAGAACAUAAGCUCACAGUGAAUCUCUGAGCUUAUGCUCUCAGUCCAACCCCGAGAGACAAAACAAAUGAGCAAAGAGGGGAAAAAAACCCAGUAGGAAAAUUUAAAAGGCAGAACAGUUUCUGGAAGAUUCCCAUGUCUCCUGAGAGAGUCCUGGUUUUUUAUCCUGAACAUCCUUUUCAAAACAAGAUCCUUCAGCUGUUGUGAAUGAGCCUUUGGGAACAGACUUGGCUUUCAGCCCAAACUGCUGCUCCUUGUCCCUGUCAGAAGGCAGCAUGUUCUGGAGCACUGAGCCUGGGACCCGGAGGGAGGCAGUGCUCCCUGACACCACAUCUACUGUGGCAGACUCAGCAGCAAAAGCACUGGCAUAAUGUCUUCCUGCCUGCUUCCGUGCCACCUUCACUCUUCACACAUUCCUGUGUCAGUGUGGUACCUAUUCAGAUGUGUACAGCUCUGCAAAAACCUGUGUUAGCUGUAAAACAAAGCAGAGAACUUUGCCUAAAAAAGAUAAAAAAAGGGGAAAAAAACCAAACCACCAACCUUAAAAAUAGUUAAAUGAUGUAACUGCAAAGAGAUGCAGAACAGGAGCAGGAACCCUGUCUGUAAGGGGUUGUGGUGAUAGCUGGAAUGUUUAAAGCAUGUUAGUGAAAAACCACAGUUGUUUGCUCUGUGGUAGCAGUAACGCGGCCUGUUUGUAAAGAAUUAACACCUUGUGUCAUCUCUAGCCUCUUCUGUGUUUUGUUCCCGUCUAUAAAAUGAGAUGAUGAUAACCCUUGGGUAAGACUGUUUCAAGACUUGAUUGAUGUGCCAAACUGUGCUACACAGUUGUGCUGUGAGCUCUGCUGCAAGUGUUUGGCCUCACUGACUUCAAGCAUAAUGCAAAGUUGAACAAACAUUUGGCCACAUUUUUCCUGAAAAGUGAAAUACUUGAUUUAAAGACUGCCUGGCACUGUUGAUCCCCUCUCAGGGUUUAUGUGAACAAAGCUUUUCCUGGGUGGCCUCUCUAAUUGUACUGCAAUUUGGAGACCUGGAGGUGCUCUGAACUGAGCUGUACUGAAGGAAGGAGGUAACUGGUGUCUCGCUGAUGUUCCAGUGACCCCCUCCCAGCUCCUGGGUUCUAUGUGGACCAUGGGGCACUUCAUACAGCCACUGGCAGCCAUAAAUGCUCUUGAGCUUCCUGUAGUCACAUAGUGAGCUUGGGUAAGUGUUUUCAUAAUAAAUCAGUCUCAUGCUUGCUAAUAGCUUUUUGGCUGCUGUGUCCACAAACUGGUGCCUUCUCCAGGCGAUUUUUACAUGCCCUCUGCAAAGUUGUCAGACUGACUGCUGGCUCCUGAAAGAAUCAACCAAGCCUUGCUCUUGGGCUCAGAAUUCCUCUUCAGUACUGUUGUCAUCUGAAAGUUUGCUGCAAUUAGUACAAAUACACAGUGUAAGAGAGAAAAUAAAAGGCUGUUCUCAGAUGUUCUGUAGAGUGAACAACUGAAACUGAGUUUGGGAUGAGCCAGGAAAAUGGUGUUUUGCCCUGGCUGCACGCUGUAUGGAAGAGACAGUGCCUUGGAAGGGAAGGAGCAGGAAAGUUUGCCAUUGGCUCUGAUGAAUCCCAAUCCUGCUUCUACUGAAGUUGUUGGGAAUCCUCCCAUUAUCUUCAGUGUGAGCAAGAAAGGAUCUUAGGUGAGGAUGGAUGACUCUUUCCCUACUUGAAUGAAGUCUCUUGCUUAUUUAUGGGCCUGCUUCUAUUGAAACCGAGCCUGUUUUAGCCUUUUUGGGUUCUUAGGGACCUGUUUGUAUAAAGCAACUUACCUACCUAUCUUUUUUUUUUCUAUUGUGUGUAUUUUUUGUAUGUUCUGUUGGAAGGUGAAGCCUCUGUAGAAGGGGAUACAAAAACUGAUUUUUAAAUAGUAAUAAACCAAAAGAGAAUUAAA
rnacentral:lncRNA from 1 species